rnacentral:rRNA from 1 species
CCUCCGUCGUCACCCCUUAAAACCUGUUACCCGCUUUCGGACUAGGUCGUUAUGGCGCACGUCCUUCUUCCGGGAGCCCAACAUUUGACGAAAACAUGCCUUGCUUUGCCGCGCGAGAUUAUUUUAUUUUUAUUACUGCCAUGGCAUUCUUAUUCGUGGCCGAUUGAUGCACGGUCGUCGGCGCCAUUAUGCAUCCCACGUUCGCAAUUAGCCUUAAUGACCCGCAUUUCGCACGCGUCCGCCAAAACAUUCUGUCCGCACUUUAGGGGCCCGAAUUGGACCCUUAACGCGAACACUGACGUUCCGAUCUCAUGCCAUCUCCCCCCAUCUUAAGGCGCACAUCGUCACUUUACGCAUCUAUACGCCUCCUUGUGGCUACCGCUUCCGUCGGGGGACCUGGACAUGACUGCGAGUACGUGCUUUCGCACCCCUCGUUUGUCCUAAUCUAUGGGACCAUCAGGUGCGGG